rnacentral:ncRNA from 1 species
AAAGCCUUGGUCCCAGGCUUAGAGUUAUCUACAACCAUACCUAUACAUGCAAGCAUCCACACCCCAGUGAGUACGCCCUGACAAACAACCCAGGAGCCGGCAUCAGGGACUUCCCUAAGACGCCUAGCAUACCAGCCACAUCCCCACGGACAUGCAGCAGUAACAAACAUUAGGCCAUGGGCCACCAACACCCUUAAACCCGACCUAGCAAUGGUUAACAGAGUCGGCCAACAUCCGUGCCAGCAGCCGCGGCUAAACGGCUUCAAGGACUCAAGAUAACACCAACGGUACAAAAAGUGGCUAGGACCUUAAACCAUUAAACUUAAGAAUAAAUUAGAGCUACUACGUGAUACAAAACCACAUGAGAAACCCAACACAAGAUCUUAAAACCAAUGGUUAUCCAACCCACGAAGGCUAAGAAACAAACUAGGAUUAGACACCCUACUAUGCUUAGCUGUAAACAUCACACCCACCAGAAAAGUAGAGGCCACAGCCCGAAACUCAAAAGACCUGGCGGUACCCCAUACCAACCUAGAGGAGCCUGUGCUAUAAUCGAUAACCCGCGAUCAACCUCACCACCCCUUGCAAUUUCCAGCCUGUAUACCGCCGUCGUCAGCCUAUCUCCCAAGAGAACGGAGCAAAACAACCUCACCCAUAAAAACGACAGGUCAAGGUGCAGCUUACGAGGUGGCACGCAUGGGCUACAAUGCCAAUAACACUGGCCAAACGGUAUCCAAACUGAACCCUAAAUUUGGAUAAAAGCAGGAUUUAGUAGUAAGAUCACUAAGAACACUGAUCUGAAACCACGCUCUGGGGUACGCACAAACCGCCCGUCACCCCCAUCUUUAAACAACAUUUGAAGAUGGGGCAAGUCGUAACAUGGUAAGCGCACCGGAAGGUGUGCUUGGAG